rnacentral:lncRNA from 1 species
CUUUACAAAUACUUUUCAAUUAUAAGUUUUUGUAUGAAAAAAAAUAUCAGCAGUUUUAUGUCUUUGUUUAGAAUAUCAUUUCAGACUUGUAAGGAGGUCAAUCAUACAAAAGACCUAAUUCCAAAAACAAAAAAUAACGGAACACAUUUAAAUCACAUUUCUUUACUUUAAUUUUAGUAAUUACGUUGUUAAUAUCUUGUAGGGGGUUAUAUUACAAAUGACCUAAUUCUUCAAAAAACGAAACAGAUUUAAAUCGUAUUUCUCUCAUUUAUGUUUAGAAAUUGACUUUAUUUGUUAUUAAUCAAACAGGUAUGUACAUUUAUUAAAACUGUUACAAAAGAUUUAAAAACCAGUAUUCAAUAAAUUUAAAUUCUUUACCUUGUACUAUAUUCAAUUUGUCAAGGUAGUUUACAAUAUACGUUUUAAUAACAAAGAAAUUGCGCAGUCUAGGGAGUGCACAAAGUCCAUUGAAUUGAGUGUACAUGUAUUUGAUUUAAAGCAUACAUGGAAAUUAACUGAUUGAUUUGUUAAGAAAAACGUAACCCAAUUUUAACAUGCGAUGCCGAC